AGGUUAUCAAUGCAUAUCUGUCCCUGCUUAUUAAAAAAUAUAAUGACAACAACGCAGACAGGGCAUGUGCCGUGGACACUUUUGAAAUGACCCGCAUUUGGGAUGGACUGAAACCCAAAGUAAAGAUAGUCCCACAGCUAUACAAGUUAAUCGUGGGCAUUGUCAAUGCGGGUCACCAUUGGAUGCUGGUGGUGAUCUUGCCAGGAGACAAAAAAACUGUUUUUCUAGAUCCACUGGGUGAAAGAAAAACCUCAAUAAACCACUGCAAGGAUGUUACAAGGUAAUUUUGUAUUAAUUCAUCUUUAUUUAUUAGAGUGAAGUG